GGGGAGGAGGCCGGGUGUUUCCUGGCGCAUUCCCGGCCCGCCCGAGUGACUCACUCAGCCUGGAAACUCCCAGGGCCCGUCCGGGACCCCCGAGCCGCCGCCGCCGCUGAUCCAGGCCAGGAUGGCAGCCCAGGUGACACUGGAGGAUGCACUGUCCAAUGUGGAUCUCCUGGAAGAGCUGCCUUUGCCUGACCAGCAGCCCUGUAUCGAGCCCCCACCAUCCUCACUGCUCUACCAGCCAAAUUUCAACACUAAUUUUGAAGACAGAAAUGCAUUUGUCACUGGGAUUGCAAGAUACAUUGAACAAGCAACUGUCCAUUCUAGCAUGAAUGAAAUGCUGGAGGAGGGCCAAGAGUACGCGGUCAUGCUAUACACCUGGAGGAGCUGCUCUCGGGCCAUCCCACAGGUGAAAUGUAACGAGCAGCCUAAUAGAGUGGAAAUUUACGAGAAAACCGUAGAGGUCCUUGAGCCUGAAGUCACAAAACUGAUGAAUUUUAUGUACUUCCAGAGAAAUGCCAUUGAGCGUUUCUGUGGGGAGGUGAGGCGCCUGUGCCACGCGGAGAGAAGGAAGGAUUUUGUUUCUGAAGCCUAUUUGAUCACGCUGGGAAAGUUCAUCAACAUGUUUGCUGUGCUGGAUGAGUUAAAGAACAUGAAGUGCAGUGUGAAGAAUGACCACUCGGCAUAUAAGAGGGCUGCUCAGUUUUUACGUAAAAUGGCAGACCCACAGUCCAUCCAGGAAUCACAGAAUCUGUCCAUGUUCCUGGCCAACCACAAUAAGAUCACCCAAUCUUUACAGCAGCAGCUUGAAGUGAUUUCUGGCUACGAAGAGCUCCUCGCUGAUAUUGUGAAUCUGUGUGUGGAUUACUACGAGAAUAGGAUGUACCUGACACCCAGUGAGAAACACAUGCUUCUCAAAGUCAUGGGAUUUGGUCUAUACUUGAUGGAUGGGAGUGUCAGCAACAUCUAUAAACUUGAUGCCAAGAAAAGAAUAAACUUAUCCAAAAUUGAUAAGUACUUCAAGCAGCUCCAGGUUGUUCCACUGUUUGGGGACAUGCAAAUAGAACUGGCAAGAUACGUCAAGACCAGUGCCCACUAUGAGGAGAAUAAAUCUCGAUGGACAUGCACAUCAUCCAGCAGCAGCCCGCAGUAUAAUAUCUGUGAGCAGAUGAUCCAGAUCCGGGAGGACCACAUGCGCUUUAUCUCAGAGUUGGCGCGCUACAGCAAUAGUGAGGUUGUCACAGGGUCGGGCCGCCAGGAGACUCAGAAAACAGAUACCGAGUACCGGAAACUCUUUGACCUGGCGCUUCAGGGCCUGCAGCUGCUGUCUCAGUGGAGUGCUCACGUGAUGGAAGUGUAUUCAUGGAAACUUGUGCACCCAACGGACAAGUACUCCAACAAGGACUGCCCAGACAAUGCUGAGGAGUAUGAGCGCGCCACCCGCUACAACUACACUAGUGAGGAGAAGUUCGCCCUGGUGGAGGUGAUUGCCAUGAUCAAAGGCCUGCAGGUGCUAAUGGGCAGGAUGGAGAGUGUGUUCAACCACGCCAUCCGGCACACCGUCUAUGCUGCGCUGCAGGACUUCUCCCAGGUUACCCUCCGGGAACCACUCAGGCAGGCCAUCAAGAAGAAGAAGAAUGUCAUCCAGAGUGUUCUGCAGGCCAUCAGGAAGACCGUGUGUGACUGGGAGACGGGGCACGAGCCCUUCAAUGACCCAGCCCUGCGGGGCGAGAAGGACCCCAAGAGUGGCUUCGACAUCAAAGUACCCCGGCGUGCCGUGGGACCCUCCAGCACGCAGCUUUACAUGGUGAGAACCAUGCUAGAGUCCCUCAUUGCAGACAAAAGUGGUUCCAAGAAAACCUUGAGAAGUAGCCUUGAGGGGCCCACCAUAUUGGACAUAGAAAAAUUUCAUCGAGAGUCAUUCUUCUACACUCACUUGAUUAAUUUCAGUGAAACGCUGCAGCAGUGCUGUGACCUUUCACAGUUGUGGUUCCGAGAGUUCUUCCUGGAGCUGACAAUGGGCAGGAGGAUCCAGUUCCCCAUUGAGAUGUCCAUGCCCUGGAUCCUGACGGACCACAUCCUAGAGACCAAGGAGGCAUCCAUGAUGGAGUACGUCCUCUACUCCCUGGACCUGUACAAUGACAGCGCACACUAUGCCCUCACCAGGUUCAACAAGCAGUUUCUCUACGACGAAAUUGAAGCAGAGGUGAAUCUAUGCUUUGACCAAUUUGUUUAUAAACUGGCAGACCAGAUAUUUGCAUAUUAUAAGGUUAUGGCAGGAAGUUUGCUUCUUGAUAAACGUUUACGAUCAGAAUGCAAGAAUCAAGGGGCAACGAUCCAUCUCCCGCCAUCUAACCGUUAUGAGACACUGCUUAAGCAGAGGCAUGUGCAGCUCCUGGGCAGAUCCAUAGACCUUAAUCGCCUGAUUACUCAGCGUGUCUCAGCAGCCAUGUAUAAGUCUCUGGAACUGGCCAUUGGACGAUUUGAAAGUGAAGACCUGACAUCAAUAGUUGAGUUGGAUGGCCUCUUGGAAAUCAACCGCAUGACCCACAAGCUGCUAAACAGGUACCUGACACUGGACAGCUUUGACGCCAUGUUCCGGGAGGCCAACCACAAUGUAUCAGCGCCAUACGGGAGAAUCACCCUCCAUGUCUUCUGGGAACUCAAUUACGACUUCCUGCCCAACUACUGCUAUAAUGGCUCUACCAACCGAUUUGUUCGGACAGUAUUACCAUUUUCUCAGGAAUUUCAAAGAGAUAAACAGCCUAAUGCACAACCCCAGUAUUUACAUGGAUCAAAGGCUUUGAACUUGGCCUACUCUAGCAUUUAUGGCAGCUACCGAAACUUUGUGGGGCCUCCGCACUUUGAGGUCAUCUGCCGGCUGCUUGGCUACCAGGGCAUUGCAGUGGUCAUGGAGGAGCUGCUGAAGGUCGUGAAGAGCCUGCUGCAAGGCACAAUCCUGCAGUACGUGAAGACGCUGAUGGAGGUGAUGCCCAAGAUCUGCCGCCUGCCCCGUCAUGAAUAUGGCUCUCCUGGCAUCCUAGAGUUCUUCCACCACCAGCUGAAGGACAUUGUUGAGUAUGCGGAGCUGAAGACCGUGUGCUUCCAGAAUCUGCGGGAGGUGGGCAAUGCUGUCCUCUUCUGCCUGCUCAUCGAGCAGAGUCUGUCUUUAGAAGAAGUGUGUGACCUAUUGCAUGCAGCCCCAUUUCAGAACAUCUUGCCAAGAGUCCACGUGAAAGAGGGAGAGAGACUUGAUGCCAAAAUGAAAAGACUAGAAUCAAAGUACGCCCCACUGCAUCUUGUCCCUCUGAUUGAAAGACUGGGGACCCCUCAGCAAAUUGCAAUAGCGAGAGAGGGGGACUUGCUGACAAAGGAACGUCUCUGCUGUGGCCUAUCUAUGUUUGAAGUCAUCCUGACUCGGAUCCGGACCUUUCUGGACGACCCUAUCUGGCGUGGGCCUUUGCCCAGCAAUGGAGUCAUGCAUGUGGAUGAGUGUGUUGAGUUUCACAGACUUUGGAGUGCCAUGCAGUUUGUCUACUGCAUUCCUGUGGGAACACACGAGUUUACAGUCGAGCAGUGCUUUGGCGACGGGCUCCACUGGGCUGGCUGUAUGAUCAUUGUACUUCUUGGGCAACAGCGGCGCUUUGCUGUCCUGGAUUUCUGCUACCAUCUACUUAAAGUCCAGAAACAUGAUGGCAAAGAUGAGAUUAUCAAAAAUGUGGCUGUUACCAACUUGGGGCCACAUUAGCCUAAUUAGAGGGUCCUGGCUUCAUGGGGAGUCUUCAGGUGUAGCCCAGCUUGCUUACAGCCCAGGCCAUCUCCUCAUCUCACUGCUGCUGGUGGCAUCUGUCCCUGAGGAGCCAUUGAAGAAAAUGGUGGAGAGAAUUCGCAAGUUCCAGAUCCUAAAUGAUGAGAUAAUUACUAUCUUGGACAAGUACUUGAAGUCUGGUGAUGGAGAAAGCACACCUGUGG